GUGGGGAAUCUUGGACAAUGGGGGAAACCCUGAUCCAGCCAUGCCGCGUGUGUGAAGAAGGCCCUAGGGUUGUAAAGCACUUUCAGUAGGGAGGAAGGCUCUGGGUUAAUACCCUGGAGUACUUGACGUUACCUACAGAAGAAGCACCGGCUAAUUUCGUGCCAGCAGCCGCGGUAAUACGAAAGGUGCGAGCGUUAAUCGGAAUUACUGGGCGUAAAGCGCGCGUAGGUGGUUUGGUAAGUUGGGAGUGAAAGCCCCGGGCUCAACCUGGGAAUUGCUUUCAAAACUGCCAGGCUAGAGUGCGGUAGAGGGAGGUGGAAUUUCCGGUGUAGCGGUGAAAUGCGUAGAGAUCGGAAGGAACACCAGUGGCGAAGGCGGCCUCCUGGACUGACACUGACACUGAGGUGCGAAAGCGUGGGGAGCAAACAGGAUUAGAAACCCGAGUAGUCC
rnacentral:rRNA from 1 species